ACGGAAGGCAGCAGUGGGGAAUAUUGCACAAUGGGGGAAACCCUGAUGCAGCGACGCCGCGUGAGUGAAGAAGUAUUUCGGUAUGUAAAGCUCUAUCAGCAGGGAAGAUAAUGACGGUACCUGACUAGGAAGCCCCGGCUAACUACGUGCCAGCAGCCGCGGUAAUACGUAGGGGGCAAGCGUUAUCCGGAUUUACUGGGUGUAAAGGGAGCGUAGACGGCAGAGCAAGUCUGAAGUGAAAACCCGGGGCUCAACUCCGGGAUUGCUUUGGAAACUGUUUAGCUAGAGUGCAGGAGAGGUAAGUGGAAUUCCUAGUGUAGCGGUGAAAUGCGUAGAUAUUAGGAGGAACACCAGUGGCGAAGGCGGCUUACUGGACUGUAACUGACGUUGAGGCUCGAAAGCGUGGGGAGCAAACAGGAUUAGAUACCCUGGUA
rnacentral:rRNA from 1 species